ACGGAAGGCAGCAGUGGGGAAUAUUGGGCAAUGGGCGAAAGCCUGACCCAGCGACGCCGCGUGAAGGAAGAAGGUCUUCGGAUUGUAAACUUCUUUUAUGAGGGACGAAGGACGUGACGGUACCUCAUGAAUAAGCCACGGCUAACUACGUGCCAGCAGCCGCGAUAAUACGUAGGUGGCAAGCGUUAUCCGGAUUUACUGGGUGUAAAGGGCGCGUAGGCGGGGAUGCAAGUCAGAUGUGAAAUCCAUGGGCUUAACUCAUGGACUGCAUUUGAAACUGUAUCUCUUGAGUGCUGGAGAGGUAGAUGGAAUUCCUUGUGUAGCGGUGAAAUGCGUAGAUAUAAGGAGGAACACCAGUGGCGAAGGCGAUCUACUGGACGAUAACUGACGCUGAGGCGCGAAAGCGUGGGGAGCAAACAGGAUUAGAUACCCUGGUA
rnacentral:rRNA from 1 species